rnacentral:piRNA from 1 species
AAAUGUUGCUGGGAAAUUACACA